UGCCAAAGACACCGAGCCAGACCUAUCUCAGUAGCCUGCUUUGGCAGUGAUGGGGUUAACUGAAGAAAGGAGGCAGAAUCCAGGGAUGCAGUGAUGACAGAUAAUAGCACCAUUGAGACCCAGGUCCUGCACUGCAAAGCACUCUGGAGCCUACAGAGGGCCCCAAGCAACAGACGGAUGUAAAUUCUAAUUGGAAAUCGAGUGUGCGUGUUUACACGUCCUUCCAAGAGGCCCUCCCUCUCUUCAUUAAAUCAUUAACUGGAUGUAGCAGGUCCUUCAUGAAUUCCUCAUGUACAGAGAAUAUUGAGCAAGGUGACAAAAGAUGUCAAAUGGCCACAGAUAUUAAACCGUCAGUGGUGUCGGGUUUCAGCGGCAGCCGGCAGGAAGAUUGCGUACAAGAAAAGAAUAACCUACCGACCCACUCCAGGAAUGAAGAAUGAAGGCCAACAUGUGGGGGAGUGACCAUGCUGCAUUAUAAAUACCUGUGCUGAAGGGGGCUUGGCCGUAUGCUUGAGCCCAAUUACCGAGUGUUGUGUCCAAAGAACAGUAACAGUACGUCUCUGAGAAGUGCAGCAGGAACCAGAAAAAUAAAACAAUGUAAUUAAUAGAGAUAAGUGUUCCGGUUUUGCUGAAAACCAAACACACCCGAAUUUUGGGGUUCCAAGUUGAACUGAAUCCUGGUUUGAAUCACUUUGGGGUUCCGAACAGUCUUCCCACCAAAUUCUGAUCUUGGAUCUCAAAAACAGAUCUUGCGUGUUAUGGAAUGCCGGUAAUUCCGUCACUUGUGAUUUCAGGUGCCAUGUCACACAGGAGAGUGUAUGGAGAGGGUUUGGGCAAGAGUUUAUGCUGCAAUACUGCAUGCUACCAUCUAAAGGAGACAUUUACCAAGCAGUGAUAAUAGUGGAGAAGUGAGCCAGUGGAGAUAUUUCCCCAUCAACCAAUCAGCAGCUCUGUAUUAUUUUAUAGUAUGCAAAUGAUAGAUGUUACUUCAGUGCUGAUUGGUUGCCAUGGGCAACUUCUCCACUGGCUCACUUCUCCGCUCUUAUCACUGCUUAGUAAAUGUCCCCCUAAGUUACAUGAUUUUAGUUUUUUGUUAUUUUUUUUUUUUAAUCAAUUUUUUAAGAAAUCCACAUUCAAAACCCUUGAGGGUGGUUUUGGCAAAACCAAACCACACAAGUGAUUUAGAACCAAAACCAAAGCCAAAAACACAGGGUCUGCGCACAUCCCUAGCAUUUAGUAAAUGCUACAGAAAGAUAUUAAUAAACCAAUCAAUUGUUAAAAGUUUUCUAAAGUUAUCUGAACACGUCAGUGCUGGGAUUGGAAAGCUGGUCUUGUUCUGUUAAAUGAGACAGGCGGUGAAAAUAACAAAAUAGAUUUCUGCAUUAGAAGCCUUUGAUACUUUCCCUCAACUUUUCCCAGGCCAUGGCUCCAUCCGGGAAUCCUACUCCACCAGCAAAGAGGAACUCUCCAGCUAAUUAAGGAGCAUUGCUUAGUGCCGGCAAUGUCAGAACACAAAGCCUCGCUCCCUCUUCCAUUCCACUCUUUGUUCUUGUUUACAUCCCGGCCCGGCACGGAACUCUUUGUCUAAUUAGCUGUUGAUAGAUCGGAUGCUCUUGUUUUCAUAAACAUUUAAUUCUUCCGUCAUCCGCAUUUACGCUACUGCAUGUUGAAUUGUCUUUUACCAGCCUAAUUUGGUUUGAGUGAAUGUAAAUCCCAUUAAGCAGUCAGUGUGUACCUAUCAGAGUGUAGAGCACAAUCUUCAAACUGUCUUAGUUACAAUAGCAUGCAUAAGGGCUGACUAUAAGGAGAUUUUGGAGCCAUUAUUAGUUAUGGUUUCCGUCCAAAUCACCGAGAUUGAAAUGCUUUGAUGCUGGAAGCUUUGUGUACUGAGAAUCUUUCCUGUAAUAAAUGUAAAGUACAUAAGUAUCCUGUUUUAUAAAGCAGCAGUACGCUGUGUGUUACUUAUAAACAUAGAUUACACUGGGAAAUAUAUCGCACAAUACUAAUAAUAACUGACUCGGCGGCCAAUCAUAUUACAGUGUGUAUUUAGCAGAAACAUCUGAACUCGCUGCACCAUUGGGAACUACUUAGUAGAUUUAAGUACAUGGGAGGGUACGUGAUAUGGACGCCUUCAAGAUGACAAUGUAACAUUGCCUUAAACGUCAGGAUGACAGACAACUUUCAAAUAAAUAAAAUCAUUUCUAUUUGUUGAUUGCUGGCACUAAGGUAACACGGGGUCUAAUUCAGAAAUGAUCGCUGCUGCGCGUUUUUGCUCAGCGGGCGAUCAGGUCUGAACUGCGCAUACGCCGCAGUGCGUAUGUGUAUGCCGUAGAUGCGAUCGGGAUCUCAGCCCAGCGAUCGCCUCUGCCUGAUUGAUAG